GUGUGUGUGUGUGUGUGUGUACACCUGUGAGGUACAAUACAGUGUGUGUUGUGUGUGUGUGUGUGUGUGUGUGUGUGUGUGUGUACACCUGUGAGGUUCAGCUAACCUGAAUGGGGAGGGCCAGGGAAGGCUUCUUAGAAUUGGCCCCCUAAACUGAGGUCUGUGGAAUGAGUAGGGGACAGAGGAAGGGGGCAAGAAAGAAUAUUCCAGGGAGAGGGAACUGUAUCAGCCAAAGCUUGGGGCUUGAGAACACGGGGGGUUUGAGAACAUGAUAGGUUUGAGGAAAUGAGAGCAGUUUGUUUGGUUUGGCUAAAGCAGAGAGAAUAAGGCAAGCUGUGGUGAAAGCUGAGGCUCACUGGUAAGCAAAUGCAAGAUAAUGUGUCCUUUCCUGACUGCAGCACAAAGGGUGGACUGGAGGAUGGAGGACAGCCACACUGAAGGCAGAGAAGCAGUUAAAGGUCUGUGGGGUUUGGAGGAAUAAGUAGCUCCAUUGGAAAAGCCUGCAGCAGAAGAACACCAAGAUCUAAGUUACUGAUAUCUACCCUUCCAUGGCACUCAAUCACAUAAGGCAAAACGAGGGAGGGGGAGAGACCCUAAAAGCCUUGAGGAGGUAUGGGGGAAGGGGCUGGAGCAUCACUGACGGAGGAAGAGGCGUAAAAAGAGGGCUACAAACAUCGUCUAGUUCACAAUCUUACCCAAGGCCAUCUCUGAUCCCAGUGUGAGUUUAAUAUAGAAUGUGUCCUUUUCCACAAUGAGUACUUAGCAAAGCCUUUGAAAAGUGUUUCAGAAUUUCUCAAAAUUAUCCACUGGAGAGGCAGGCUGUUGGCAUUUAACAAUGCCACUGUUCAAAGAUGCUCUUUCCUUGUCCUUUUCAUGGCACUUGAGGACCUUUGGGUGGAAUUCUCUCUGAGCAGUGUGAAAAUAUCAAAAUAAAACUCUAUGGAAAAGGACAAGCACUGCUCUGAGGUGGCAUCUCCCACCCCCGCCCGGCCACUCACAGCUCUAUAGUGUCUCUCUCAGAGAUGAAAAGCAGAAAAAGAAACUGAAUUCUAGAGUGCUCACAAAUGGAUUUCCCAAAUCAGAGCUGCCUUAACCAUUUAUUCCCUGUUAGAGGGAAUUGGUCAUCUCAGUUCCAAAAUCACAACAAUGUCCUUUUUGAGUCAGUAUAGUUAAUAUUGAAGCAUUAAUACCAGUGACAUCCACAGCAACCUCUGUCAUGAAAAAAGAAAAAAAAAAAAAA
rnacentral:lncRNA from 1 species